GACGAACGCUGGCGGCGUGCUUAAUACAUGCAAGUCGAACGGAAAGGCCCUGCGUUUGUUGGGUGCUCGAUUGCCGAACGGGUGAGUAACACGCGAGUAACCUGCCCUUGACUUUGGGAUAACUCCAGGAAACUGGGGCGAAUACCGGGUAGGAUCUCCUGCUGCAUGGUGGGGGAUGGAAAGUUUCGGCGGUGGUGGAUGGACUCGCGGCUUAUCCGCUUGUUGGUGGGGUAGUUGCUUACCAAGGGUUUGACGGGUAGGCGGCCUAAGAGGGUGAACGGCCACAUUGGGACUACGAUACGGACCAGACUCCUACGGGAGGCAGCAGUGGGGAAUAUUGCACAAUGGGCGGAAGCCUGAUGCAGCAACGCCGCGUGCGGGAUGACGGCCUUCGGGUUGUAAACCGCUUUCGCCUGUGACGAAGCGUGAGUGACGGUAAUGGGUAAAGAAGCCCCGGCUAACUACGUG
rnacentral:rRNA from 1 species